CCUACGGGCGGCUGCAGUGGGGAAUAUUGGACAAUGGGCGAAAGCCUGAUCCAGCCAUGCCGCGUGUGUGAAGAAGGCCUUCGGGUUGUAAAGCACUUUCAGUGGGGAAGAAAGCCUUGGGGCUAAUACCCUCGAGGAAGGACAUCACCCACAGAGAAGCACCGGCUAACUCCGUGCCAGCAGCCGCGGUAAUACGGAGGGUGCGAGCGUUAAUCGGAAUUACUGGGCGUAAAGCGCGCGUAGGCGGUCUGAUAAGCCGGUUGUGAAAGCCCCGGGCUCAACCUGGGAACGGCAUCCGGAACUGUCAGGCUAGAGUGCAGGAGAGGAAGGUAGAAUUCCCGGUGUAGCGGUGAAAUGCGUAGAGAUCGGGAGGAAUACCAGUGGCGAAGGCGGCCUUCUGGACUGACACUGACGCUGAGGUGCGAAAGCGUGGGUAGCAAACAGGAUUAGAUACCCGAGUAGUC
rnacentral:rRNA from 1 species